CCUACGGGAGGCAGCAGUGAGGAAUAUUGGUCAAUGGGCGAGAGCCUGAACCAGCCAAGUCGCGUGAAGGAUGAAGGAUCUCUGGUUUGUAAACUUCUUUUAUAUGGGGAUAAAGUGAGGAACGUGUUCCUUUUUGUAUGUACCAUAUGAAUAAGCAUCGGCUAACUCCGUUCCAGCAGCCGCGGUAAUACGGAGGAUGCGAGCGUUAUCCGGAUUUAUUGGGUUUAAAGGGUGCGUAGGUGGUUAAUUAAGUCAGCGGUGAAAGUUUGUGGCUCAACCAUAAAAUUGCCGUUGAAACUGGUUGACUUGAGUAUAUUUGAGGGAGGUGGAAUGCGUGGUGUAGCGGUGAAAUGCAUAGAUAUCACGCAGAACUCCGAUUGCGAAGGCAGCUUACUAAACGAUAACUGACGCUGAAGCACGAAAGCGUGGGGAGCAAACAGGAUUAGAUACCCGAGUAGUC
rnacentral:rRNA from 1 species